AUUGAACGCUGGCGGCAGGCCUAACACAUGCAAGUCGAACGGUAACAGGGAUCAGCUUGCUGAUUCGCUGACGAGUGGCGGACGGGUGAGUAAUGACUGGGAAACUGCCUGAUGGAGGGGGAUAACUACUGGAAACGGUAGCUAAUACCGCAUAACGUCGCAAGACCAAAGAGGGGGACCUUCGGGCCUCUUGCCAUCGGAUGUGCCCAGAUGGGAUUAGCUAGUAGGUGGGGUAACGGCUCACCUAGGCGACGAUCCCUAGCUGGUCUGAGAGGAUGACCAGCCACACUGGAACUGAGACACGGUCCAGACUCCUAUGGGAGGCAGCAGUGGGGAAUAUUGCACAAUGGGCGCAAGCCUGAUGCAGCCAUGCCGCGUGUAUGAAGAAGGCCUUCGGGUUGUAAAGUACUUUCAGCGGGGAGGAAGGGAGUAAAGUUAAUACCUUUGCUCAUUGACGUUACCCGCAGAAGAAGCACCGGCUAACUCCGUG
rnacentral:rRNA from 1 species